rnacentral:lncRNA from 1 species
UAUGAUGUAUGUGAUAUAUGCUUAUUUGAAUGGCAUGAUUAUUAUGAAAUUUGUAUGGAUGAAUGAUUGAAUCAUUUAGAUAUUUUUAAUUUUUUGUUAGAAAAAUUAUAAUAAAUAAAUAUUUUUUUAAAAAAAAAACGGAUUUUCCUGAAAAUCGUGUGCUUGAAGAACACAUUGCCACAGCUACAUCCACGAUCAGUCGUGCCCAACGUUGAAGGCCAAGUCAGCAUGCACUAGUGCUGAUGGCCCAAAAAUGUGGUCUUGCAUAGCGCGACUGCGACGUGUUGAUCGUGAGGAUGGAGGAAGAUCUGUGAAGGCCGAAGCAUCUCCAUUCAACAACGCCCAAUGAUGGUGUUGAAAACCUGUCGCUGGCAUCGCACACUUGCCAUGCGUUGUAGCCACUUCUGUGGCUGCUAAGCUCAUCGUCGGACGU